rnacentral:rRNA from 1 species
UACGGAGGGUGCAAGCGUUAUCCGGAUUCACUGGGUUUAAAGGGUGCGUAGGAGGGCAGGUAAGUCAGUGGUGAAAUCUUCGAGCUUAACUCGGAAACUGCCGUUGAUACUAUCUGUCUUGAAUACCGUGGAGAUGAGCGGAAUAUGUCACGUAGCGGUGAAAUGCUUAGAUAUGACAUAGAACACCAAUUGCGAAGGCAGCUCGUUACACGAAUAUUGACUCUGAGGCACGAAAGCGUGGGGAUCAAACAGG